rnacentral:rRNA from 1 species
AGUCGAACGAAGCUUGACGGAUGAUUUCUUCGGAAUGAAACCAGAUAUGACUUAGUGGCGGACGGGUGAGUAACACGUGAGCAACCUGCCUUUCAGAGGGGGAUAACGGCUGGAAACGGUCGCUAAUACCGCAUGAUGUGUUCGGAUGGCGUCAUUUGAACAUCAAAGAUUUAUCGCUGAAAGAUGGGCUCGCGUCUGAUUAGAUAGUUGGUGGGGUAACGGCCUACCAAGUCUACGAUCAGUAGCCGGACUGAGAGGCUGAACGGCCACAUUGGGACUGAGAUACGGCCCAGACUCCUACGGGAGGCAGCAGUGGGGAAUAUUGCACAAUGGGGGAAACCCUGAUGCAGCAACGCCGCGUGAAGGAUGACGGUUUUCGGAUUGUAAACUUCUUUUCUUAGUGACGAAGACAGUGACGGUAGCUAAGGAAUAGGCAUCGGCUAACUACGUGCCAGCAGCCGCGGUAAUACGUAGGAUGCAAGCGUUAUCCGGAUUUACUGGGUGUAAAGGGAGCGCAGGCGGGACUGCAAGUUGGAUGUGAAAUACCGUGGCUUAACCACGGAACUGCAUCCAAAACUGUAGUUCUUGAGUGAAGUAGAGGCAAGCGGAAUUCCGAGUGUAGCGGUGAAAUGCGUAGAUAUUCGGAGGAACACCAGUGGCGAAGGCGGCUUGCUGGGCUUUAACUGACGCUGAGGCUCGAAAGUGUGGGGAGCAAACAGGAUUAGAUACCCUGGUAGUCCACACUGUAAACGAUGAUAGCUAGGUGUGGGGG